GCAAGAGUUGAUACAGUCCACACAGGUCGGCCUCCUGGGCAGAGAUCAGAGUAGGACAGGAUGAAGAACACAUCUGGAGGGUCAAAGAGAAGCUAUGACACAGGAGCUCUCUCUCAGGACUAUUCUGGCUUCUCAGGAUCCAUUGCCCUUGCCCAGGAGAGAGAGCCUCGCUGGGACCCAGAAACCGCGAAAGAAGAUUCGACCUACCUGUGGAACCAGACACAACUUGGUCCCCAAAGGUCGCUUAGGCGACCCCACUGCAAACGGCAAGUCAACUUGUGCACUUAAAACGUAUCAGUUUAUGGAAUGCUUGUUUAAAGUCCUCAUUGGACAUGGUAUAGAUUAUGGGGUUGAUGAGGGAGUUGAGAUAGCCCAGCCAUGUGAAGAAGUCAAAGAUGGCUAGGUGGAACCAGCAGGCAUCUUUGCAGAUAGGCAUCACUAGGGAGAUGAUGAAGAAGGGUAGCCAACACACAAU
rnacentral:lncRNA from 1 species